GGCCCGCACAAGCGGUGGAGCAUGUGGUUUAAUUCGAUGCAACGCGAAGAACCUUACCUACACUUGACAUACAGAGAACUUACCAGAGAUGGUUUGGUGCCUUCGGGAACUCUGAUACAGGUGCUGCAUGGCUGUCGUCAGCUCGUGUUGUGAGAUGUUGGGUUAAGUCCCGCAACGAGCGCAACCCUUGUCCCGUGUUGCCAGCACGUUGUGGUGGGGACUCGCGGGAGACUGCCGGGGUCAACUCGGAGGAAGGUGGGGAUGACGUCAAGUCAUCAUGCCCCUUAUGUCCAGGGCUUCACGCAUGCUACAAUGGCUGGUACAGAGAGUGGCGAGCCUGUGAGGGUGAGCGAAUCUCGGAAAGCCGGUCUCAGUUCGGAUUGGGGUCUGCAACUCGACCUCAUGAAGUCGGAGUCGCUAGUAAUCGCAGAUCAGCAACGCUGCGGUGAAUACGUUCCCGGGCCUUGUACACACCGCCCGUCACACCACGAAAGUCGGUAACACCUGAAGCCGGUGGGCCAACCUCUUGGAGGCAGCCGUCGAAGGUGGGACCGAUGAUUGGGGUGAAGUCGUAACAAGGUAGCCGUAUCGGAAGGUGCGGCUGGAU
rnacentral:rRNA from 1 species